AUGAACGCUAGCUACAGGCUUAACACAUGCAAGUCGAGGGGCAGCAUGGUCUUAGCUUGCUAAGGCCGAUGGCGACCGGCGCACGGGUGAGUAACACGUAUCCAACCUGCCGUCUACUCUUGGACAGCCUUCUGAAAGGAAGAUUAAUACAAGAUGGCAUCAUGAGUCCGCAUGUUCACAUGAUUAAAGGUAUUCCGGUAGACGAUGGGGAUGCGUUCCAUUAGAUAGUAGGCGGGGUAACGGCCCACCUAGUCUUCGAUGGAUAGGGGUUCUGAGAGGAAGGUCCCCCACAUUGGAACUGAGACACGGUCCAAACUCCUACGGGAGGCAGCAGUGAGGAAUAUUGGUCAAUGGGCGAGAGCCUGAACCAGCCAAGUAGCGUGAAGGAUGACUGCCCUAUGGGUUGUAAACUUCUUUUAUAAAGGAAUAAAGUCGGGUAUGCAUACCCGUUUGCAUGUACUUUAUGAAUAAGGAUCGGCUAACUCCGUGCCAGCAGCCGCGGUAAUACGGAGGAUCCGAGCGUUAUCCGGAUUUAUUGGGUUUAAAGGGAGCGUAGAUGGAUGUUUAAGUCAGUUGUGAAAGUUUGCGGCUCAACCGUAAAAUUGCAGUUGAUACUGGAUAUCUUGAGUGCAGUUGAGGCAGGCGGAAUUCGUGGUGUAGCGGUGAAAUGCUUAGAUAUCACGAAGAACUCCGAUUGCGAAGGCAGCCUGCUAAGCUGCAACUGACAUUGAGGCUCGAAAGUGUGGGUAUCAAACAGGAUUAGAUACCCUGGUAGUCCACACGGUAAACGAUGAAUACUCGCUGUUUGCGAUAUACUGCAAGCGGCCAAGCGAAAGCGUUAAGUAUUCCACCUGGGGAGUACGCCGGCAACGGUGAAACUCAAAGGAAUUGACGGGGGCCCGCACAAGCGGAGGAACAUGUGGUUUAAUUCGAUGAUACGCGAGGAACCUUACCCGGGCUUAAAUUGCAGAUGAAUUACGGUGAAAGCCGUAAGCCGCAAGGCAUCUGUGAAGGUGCUGCAUGGUUGUCGUCAGCUCGUGCCGUGAGGUGUCGGCUUAAGUGCCAUAACGAGCGCAACCCUUGUUGUCAGUUACUAACAGGUUCCGCUGAGGACUCUGACAAGACUGCCAUCGUAAGAUGUGAGGAAGGUGGGGAUGACGUCAAAUCAGCACGGCCCUUACGUCCGGGGCUACACACGUGUUACAAUGGGGGGGUACAGAGGGCCGCUACCACGCGAGUGGAUGCCAAUCCCAAAAACCUCUCUCAGUUCGGACUGGAGUCUGCAACCCGACUCCACGAAGCUGGAUUCGCUAGUAAUCGCGCAUCAGCCACGGCGCGGUGAAUACGUUCCCGGGCCUUGUACACACCGCCCGUCAAGCCAUGGGAGCCGGGGGUACCUGAAGUGCGUAACCGCGAGGAGCGCCCUAGGGUAAAACUGGUGACUGGGGCU
rnacentral:rRNA from 1 species